CUCAAAAAAUGGGUUUUGUAGCACUGUUCAUUAUACACAAAUAUAUUUAGUUACAUUAAAACAUACACAUUUAUUUUUAAGACAAAAUACAAGUGUAAUGUGUUAUGCUAAAUCAAUUUGUUAUUCACUCUAGUUUACCUAACUACCUAUCUUUAAACUAAAGUAAUUGGUUUACUUUUGCGAUUCAAACUACCGGAUGUGACGUCAUUUAACGACUUCCACGAAGACGGCGCGGAGCUCUGGCGCGCAGGUGAUGGUGUUUCCGUCAUACCACAAAGACUUCUCCAGUCUGGCUAAAAGUUACAAAAGGUGAUCCUUCAGUAUGCCAUUUUUACUUCAGUGAGUGACCUGUCAAAGGAAAUAGAAAAACAAUGUAAUCUACAAGGACAUUUAAGGCUGCAGUUCAUGGAUUCUGACUUGGGCAAUUAGUUUUUAAAUCUCAUGUACACAUCUGAAAUUCAAGACAAAAGUACACUUAAGGUGGUAUUUCUGACAACACCAAGUGAUUGUGACAACUCGCCCCCACCACAACUGAACAGUUUUCAAAGGAGUACCUGCUCAUCACCAGCUCUUUCACUUUCAUCCUGUGACACAGUAGUUUUGUCAACCCCAUCUACUUCAUUAAGCUCUGACUGUGUUGCAAAAGCGUGUUUUGCCAAAUAUAUAACAAAACUGAGAAAAAUUGGCUGUACUGAAGUGAAAUUAAAUUUACUCAAGCCCAAACCAGCUGGAAUUUCCAGUGCUGCUUAUCAUAUAAAAAAACAUGCAACGCUUUGGUUAACUACUGCCCUUACCAUCCACAAACGGAGACAUCCAAAACACUGGAAGUAGUCAGUGUAAUACUUCUGUCUGAAAUUAAAAAGAACAAUGAGAAAACAUUAUGAAUGCUGAUGGACAAGACCUUUUCUAUCAGGAGACAUGAGGUUGUCAAGGAAUCGCCUUCAAUAGCAGAUUUCAAAACUAGAUGGCCUGCUCUUUUCAGAAGGGAAGAGAUUUGUGCAGAGUUUAAAAGAAUCGCAACAGCCCCAUUGGUGUCUACAUACUUGGCGAAGAUGGAUCAAUAUUCUGCAAAGCUUAUAAGGAUCUAUGCAAAACGAGGAGUCGUCAAUGGACAGAGAAUUAAAAACCUGCUGGUUUCCACAACACAGACUGACUGACACAUUGAUCAGACUCCAAUCUUUCUUUGUCUACCUGAAUGAAGACCUGACCAGUCUAAUUAAAGAGUACUUGGAUACAGAUGCACCCAGUACCCAGGAGGCGUUCCAGAAGAUGGUGAUGGGAGUGCUUGUAGGUUCAGACAUCGAAGACAGCCCAGCAGAUGUUGGAGUGUUAUUAGAGGGAUUAAGAGUUCUUGGACCUCAUCAACAUUGUGUAUGGAACAACCAUGCUGAUGGGACUGAUAUAUGCACUGAACUUGAGCUACUUUCCUGAAUUCAGGUACACUUUUGAAGUAUUGCAGUUGUUGUUUCUGGAGCUAGAUGGGAAGUAACUAUCUCAUAAAGUUCAGACGCUGAAGACCAAGACUUUUGCAGAUGUUUUGAGAAAGGAAUGUUUUAAUAUUUCAUAUGUAAAUGCCAUGUUUUUGAAAUGGCAGUACAGUAACAUUCGGGAAGUAAGCAGUGUCGUCAAUUUAUUUUGAUAGUUUUGCAGUGCGUUUUUAUUUAAUUAGAUUAAUGUAGAGUUGUUUAAAGCUUUGGCUGUACGUAAAUGGUGCUGCAUCUAAUUUGUCAUGGAAUGUUAACGUUUAUACUGUAUCUGUAGUUUAAGUGCAAUAAACAUGGCUUGAAGAACUGGUGUCUGAGAUUCUUUUAUGAAUAAAAUGAAUGCUAUAUAGAGUUUAUUACAAAAAGUAUAUUAUUGUGUGUGAUGUACUUGAAAUAGAAAUUGUUAUGUUAAAGUAACUAAAAGUAAUUGGAUGGAACCACUGUCCACAAUGUAAAUGAGUUGUAUGAAUAAACUACUCUUGAGUUGGACAAGCAAAAAAUAUUUGAUUAGUUUGUACAAGUUAAACACAUGUUCAGAAAACGUAACAAUCUUAAGUUAUGGAUAAGUAACUAAGAUAAUUUUGUUGAACGUUACCACGUCACAUUAGUUAUUUAUUAUUCAAUUGUGUUGCUGCAACAGAAGAGUUUGGCAUUGACUGAAAACAACCCUUAAAUGUUAAUAAAAACUAACUGGGUUGUGUGGAACCACUGUCCACAAUAAAAUUGUGUUCGUUUAAAG